GCUAAUACGGGGUCGGCAGGUGCGUGAAGUAGUGGGGUGCGAGGGUGAGACAGAAUGAAUUGGCGUAAAGAGUACCAAGGUGGUUAUGUAAGACAGGGGGGAAAUCCCCGGGCUCAACCUGGGAACUGCCUGUGGGACUGCAAGGCUAGAGUGCGGCAGAGGGGGAUGGAAUUCCGCGUGAAGCAGUGAAAUGCGUAGAUAUGCGGAGGAGCACCGAUGGCGAAGGCAAUCCCCUGGGCUUGCACUGACGCUCAUGCAUGAAAGCGUGGGGAGCAAACAGGAUUAGAUACCCGAGUAGUC
rnacentral:rRNA from 1 species